UGGCCCGUUCGUCUAGCGGUUUAGGACGCCGCCCUCUCAAGGCGGAGAUCACCAGUUCGAAUCUGGUACGGGCUACCCA
rnacentral:tRNA from 1 species